rnacentral:rRNA from 1 species
UACGUAGGGCGCAAGCGUUGUCCGGAAUUAUUGGGCGUAAAGAGCUCGUAGGCGGCUUGUCACGUCGGAUGUGAAAGCCCGGGGCUUAACCCCGGGUCUGCAUUCGAUACGGGCAGGCUAGAGUUCGGUAGGGGAGAUCGGAAUUCCUGGUGUAGCGGUGAAAUGCGCAGAUAUCAGGAGGAACACCGGUGGCGAAGGCGGAGCUCUGGGCCGAUACUGACGCUGAGGAGCGAAAGCGUGGGGAGCGAACAGG